rnacentral:pre_miRNA from 1 species
UAAAAGACAAACUCUGGGUUUCCGUGUCUAACUUUGACUGUCCAUAUUAUAUGAAAACUUUUUAUAAUUUAUAUUUUUAUUGUUGUUAGAUGAUAAAACAUGAUUAAUAUUUUAUGCGUGACUUAUCUUUUUAAUUUUUUUAUAUUUUUUUCAAAUAAGACAGAUGGUCAAUACGGAAAUUAAG